rnacentral:rRNA from 1 species
CCUACGGGAGGCAGCAGUGAGGAAUAUUGGUCAAUGGGCGCGAGCCUGAACCAGCCAAGUCGCGUGAGGGAAGACGGUCCUAUGGAUUGUAAACCUCUUUUGUCGGGGAGCAAAAGACGCCACGCGUGGCGUUCCGAGAGUACCCUACGAACAAGCAUCGGCUAACUCCGUGCCAGCAGCCGCGGUAAUACGGAGGAUGCGAGCGUUAUCCGGAUUUAUUGGGUUUAAAGGGUGCGCAGGCGGAAGAUCAAGUCAGCGGUAAAAUUGAGAGGCUCAACCUCUUCGAGCCGUUGAAACUGGUUGUCUUGAGUGAGUGAGAAGUAUGCGGAAUGCGUGGUGUAGCGGUGAAAUGCAUAGAUAUCACGCAGAACUCCGAUUGCGAAGGCAGCAUACCGGCGCUCAACUGACGCUCAUGCACGAAAGUGUGGGUAUCGAACAGGAUUAGAUACCCUGGUAGUC